rnacentral:rRNA from 1 species
CGAUUGGAGCGGCCGAUGGCAGAUUAGGUAGUUGGUGGGAUAAAAGCUUACCAAGCCGACGAUCUGUAGCUGGUCUGAGAGGACGACCAGCCACACUGGGACUGAGACACGGCCCAGACUCCUACGGGAGGCAGCAGUGGGGAAUUUUGGACAAUGGGCGAAAGCCUGAUCCAGCAAUGCCGCGUGCAGGAUGAAGGCCUUCGGGUUGUAAACUGCUUUUGUACGGAACGAAAAAGCUCUCCUAAUACGAGAGGC